rnacentral:tmRNA from 2 species
GGGGAUGAUAGGCCUCGACAAAAGAUUUGAUCUUUAAAGUGCAUGCCGAGCUCCAAGUAACUCGAAAAACUGCUUGGAAAAAGUACGUGUAAACAACGUUACUGCAAAACUCCGGGGCGUGGCAAGCCCAUACGCCGGAGUCCCGGUUUACGCUUUAGCCUAAGCCGGCAUCUUGUCCGCCCACUCCGAUAAGCGGAACAGGGUGUCAUUUUUCGGAUAAGCCAAGAAGAUUGCCGAACUUCUUGGACAAAAAUUCUGGCUCGGCGCUUUGAGGUUUCGUCUGACUUUUUACUCUAAGCGCUUAAAAUACAAGUCUGACUACGCAUGUAGAUUCUUUAAGGACGGCCUUUUGGACGGCGGUUCAAUUCCGCCCAUCUCCACCA